rnacentral:snRNA from 1 species
GAUUCAUCCAAAUAAUCCAU